GGCGAUUGGGCCCGACGGUCAACUUCACGCGUUAAGUUGCUGAGCCAGGAUCAAACUCUAAGCUUUUCCUGUGUGAAGGCAGAAAGCGGGGGACCGAAAGGCCUCGCGCUAUAGGGGCGGCCGAUGGCAGAUUAGCUAGUUGGUGGGGUAAAGGCCUACCAAGGCGACGAUCUGUAGCUGGUCUGAGAGGACGACCAGCCACACUGGGACUGAGACACGGCCCAGACUCCUACGGGAGGCAGCAGUGGGGAAUUUUGGACAAUGGGGGCAACCCUGAUCCAGCAAUGCCGCGUGUGUGAAGAAGGCCUUCGGGUUGUAAAGCACUUUUGUCCGGAAAGAAAACUUCUGGGUUAAUACCCUGGGAGGCUGACGGUACCGGAAGAAUAAGCACCGGCUAACUACGUGCCAGCAGCCGCGGUAAUACGUAGGGUGCGAGCGUUAAUCGGAAUUACUGGGCGUAAAGCGUGCGCAGGCGGUUUGUUAAGACAGAUGUGAAAUCCCCGGGCUUAACCUGGGAACUGCAUUUGUGACUGGCAAGCUAGAGUAUGGCAGAGGGGGGGUAGAAUUCCACGUGUAGCAGUGAAAUGCGUAGAGAUGUGGAGGAAUACCGAUGGCGAAGGCAGCCCCCUGGGCCAAUACUGACGCUCAUGC
rnacentral:rRNA from 1 species